rnacentral:rRNA from 1 species
AGCCUGAUCCAGCCAUACCGCGUGGGUGAAGAAGGCCUUCGGGUUGUAAAGCCCUUUUGUUGGGAAAGAAAUCCAGCUGGUUAAUACCCGGUUGGGAUGACGGUACCCAAAGAAUAAGCACCGGCUAACUUCGUGCCAGCAGCCGCGGUAAUACCC